AGAGUAUUGAACACCGAAGCCUUCAGUGGUAUUCGCGCGAAGCAAAACGUUAUAGGAUUUAUUAUUACGUCACCACAGUAAUUGCGAGUACUUUAGAUCAAAGGCAUGGAUCUUGGGCGAACAUAAUCAACAAUCAAUUCACAUCACUGCCUUCAGGAAAAUGAAUAUCCACUAUUCAUCAUCAAUAUUACAAAUGUUUAUAGCAGUAGAUAAAUAUGUUGCUAAGGAACGACUGCCAGUUUUCAAGUAGCAACAAGUUAGAUCUGAAAACGAAUGAGAUAGCCGAUCAGUGUUUAUGUAGCCCUAGAGUUAAUUUCACUUAACCGGUUCAAUUAUCAUUAUGUCUGAUGCCCCACCCGAAGGGUCUGGAAAAAAGAGGCAGUGCUAUCACCCUUACAAGCUACUGAUUGAUGCCAUCAAUGUUCCACUUAAGCUGUUAGUGGUUGACAAGAAUGAUAUGAGCAGGAAGAGAAUACCAGAGGCUUGAUCUCCAGGAGAGGAAGGACUGGAUAUAGUGGUUAUUGUAGGGCCUGGGAGGGCUGGACACAACAUGCUUGAUAAAAAGAGAAGAGACAAUUGAGUUGAGAGUGCUUGAAUUAAAGUUUCAUGAAACCAGCCAGCUCCAAGAAGCAGAAAACAAUGUAGUUGUAGUGGAAAAUACAGAGUUAAUGUAAGUUGAAUGAAGUCGUUACUGAGGGAUGGCUUUGCAACCAAUACUCUUCCUGUUGCUAACCCUUAACUGUUUUUCAAGUAAAGGAUUUUUAUUAUGUUUGUCUUAAAAAAUGUUGAGCAACAGGGCAGUUUGUUGACCACUUUUACUCAAGUAAUUUCAUGUAAAGAUGCUACAAAAUAUAAACAUUCAAGCAUACACACACACACACACACACACACACACACACACACACACACACACACACACACACACACACACAAUGGGCUCCCUCAGGGUUCCCAUGUACCAAUUCCACUCACAAAACAUGGAUCUGCUUAGGUCUAUAGCAGAAGACACUUAUCCAACAUGCCACAUAAUAGGAUUGAACCUGAAAUGAGUUUUCGGAUUAAUUGAAAGUUCCAAUGCACUCUUAACUCUUUAGCAUUUAAACUGGCUAUAUCUAGCCCAAAUGUUCUACCCGUUUUAAGUUCUAAACAGUCAGAUCUGGCCUUUCCCACCUACUUUACAAUGUCAUUCUAAAAGUAUAUAAUCACAUCAUUUGAAAUCUUAAAGCUACAAGAUAGUGCUUAUUAUUUCAAAAGAAUAUGAAUAAAUAACACUUGAUAAAGUAAUCUGAAUGCUAAAGGGUUAAUGAUGAUUAAAACAUUUUGGAAUGUCAUAAUUAAACAAAAUCUAAAUAAAUGUACAGUAAA